CCUCGUUAAGCAGAUAUAAGAAAUUACACUCAAAGUCAUCUUUGGAGGCAAUCAUUUGGCCACUGCGAUCAAGUUUUUGGUAACGACUUCCGGAUUUGAUGCGCCCAAUUGCAGGAACUGUACCGCCAUCGUCCGCUGUUUUGAAGGACCCUCUGCCACGCCCCUAUCCACCAUUUCCCGGCUUACGCCCUUAAGUCUGCAAAAUUCUGAUGCACAGCGGAGUGGAAGCCACUUUGAGUGACGACAAGUGGGGACAAGUCAACAAUGUCGAGAUGCCAAGUGGGAGGGUUUCUCCUGCCACCUUUGUCAUUGCCUUCCUUCUCAUUUUGGUCGUUGUGGUGAAGGAAUGGGGAUCCCCGACAGACCGAUGGAGUCAUUGCACUUCGUUUCCGUUGCACGAAAUGUUUCAAUUUGCUGGCGCAGCGCGCAAAUUAGAAACGAAAUAAAACCGAGAAUCCUUUUGCAGAAUGCCCCGUGCCCUUAUGAACUCUCAUCCGAGUGUCAGAGUACCAGGCAUAACGCGGUGCAAAUGUCUCGUCUCGUUGCAAAUGGAUUCGGAUGGCCUCUCCUCUGGAAGUACUCUUUUCGGACCGAAAACUUUGCCGGUCUCACGGGAACUGAAACGAGCUAAACAGUACUGAACUGAACAGGACAGUACAGAUAUUUCCAUCCGGCCCCAUAAGUCCAGCUCUCGUUGUCAGAACUCAUUCGAUGGCACUUUCCGAGUGCAACUUUCAAAUGCGUUUAAUAUUUAAAUGGCGCAACGAGAAUGGCAAUGGCCGAAUUUGAGUUAGCCCUCUUCCUUUGCGUCGUCAUCGGGUUUUCUGGAGGAGAUGCCCGGCGGCCAGGACGGACGAGCUAUCCAACAGAAGGCCCAGAGCCAGAGCCACCACCACACAUGCAAAUUUGCUUUGAAAUUUCGCUUGAGGAGUGCACUGCGAAAGAACUGUAGUCAAAGCGUAACUAAAAGCUAUAAAAAUCUAAAAAUCUUUCCAACAAAAUAUUGCUAUCCAUACUAAUAAUAGCAGGCAAUAAUGUUAAAUUUCGUGGUUAGGAAUAACGAUGCGUAUGAGUAUGAUUUAUAUGCGUUCUUUCAGUACCCGAAAUUGUUUAACUUAAACGUGACAAAUGCAUAUUUUAAAAUUUAAUAUAAGUUCAAUUUUAUGAAAGUUCUACGAUUUGGUUUAGUCUAGGUUGUUUAGGAUGUUUAGAGUAACGGAAACAUUACUCAUACGCAUCGUUGGACUGGCU
ensembl:ncRNA lncRNA:CR45521 long non-coding RNA:CR45521